CCUUGAAAAAGGGAGUUCAAGAAGAGCUUCGAAGAAGCUCUCUUGAUGGAGGGGAGUGGCAGACGGGUGAGUAUCGCGUGGGAACAUACCCUUAUCUUCGGAACAACUCCGGGAAACUGGAGCUAAUACCGAAUGUGCCCUUAGGGGGAAAGAUUUAUCGGAUAAGGCUUGGCCGGCGUUGGAUUAGCUAGUUGGUGGGGUAAAGGCCUACCAAGGCGACGAUCCAUAGCUGGUCUGAGAGGAUGAUCAGCCACAUUGGGACUGAGACACGGCCCAAACUCCUACGGGAGGCAGCAGUGGGGAAUAUUGGACAAUGGGCGCAAGCCUGAUCCAGCCAUGCCGCGUGAGUGAUGAAGGCCUUAGGGUUGUAAAGCUCUUUCACCGGAGAAGAUAAUGACGGUAUCCGGAGAAGAAGCCCCGGCUAACUUCGUGCCAGCCGCCGCAGUAACAC
rnacentral:rRNA from 1 species